UACAUUUUAGUAUAUGAUGUACUUAAAUUUUUGAUAUUUAAUGAAAUGGUUUAAUUCCAUUAGAUGUAA
rnacentral:tRNA from 2 species